UUAACAAAGACCCUAUAUUAGGGACAACAUGUCUCUCUUGUUUUUUUUUUAAAAAAAAUAAAAUAAAAAGGAGAGACCUGUGUUUUUACAUAAAUGAUCUCCCAUUUUAUUUAAAAAAAAUAAAACAAAAUUUAAUUUUGGAGAGACUUGUGGUGUUGCUUAACCGGUCUCCAUUGUUUCCAAAAAUAUAAUAUAUGAACUAAACCCAAUUUUUUUUUUUAGUUCAAUCCGCCUCCACGCCUCCAUUCCCUCUAUCUCCUUCUCUGUUACCCUCAAACUCUUUAUUCCUCUCUUCGUCAACGAUUUCAUUCAAUUUCAAUUCCAUCGUCCAUUUCUCGUCUCAAUUCAUCUUUUACUUUAAAUCUAAAUUUUCGAUGUUUAUCAUUUUAUUCUACCUCGGUACUAUAGAAAUUGCUUAGAUCUUUCAAUUGGUCUUCAUAGAUAAACGAAUGGAGCUUCAAAAGUAGCUUUAAUGGCGUUCGAAGCUUCUCCUCUCGAUUUGCUGAGUCGUCUUUGAGAAAGAAUAGAUCGUCAUGGCCAGAAUAUGAUCUGCUAUUUGGCGACUUCACGACAACUCACUUCUAAUUUCAAUGAUAUACCAUUGUUUAGCACUAAGAACAGUUGGUAUUGAUGCUGAUGACAAUUGAUUGAGCUAUUCAUGUCCCAAGUGAGCGUGCGGCAAGAAUAUUAUAGAACUUGUUGCUGCUGGUGGGGGAAAGUUGGACUCUGCUAUUGGUGGUUUUGUGCUGCUGCAAGUGUUACUUCAGCUGCAGCGCUAAAAGAGGAGAUAGUGGAAGAAGCAGUAGUAGUUAUAGGAUUUAUUAUUAGUUGAUUGAAACAUUGGAGAUAUUUUGUGAAACGAAUUAGAUAAAAGAAUGUUGGAUUUCGAUCUUGGAAUGUUAUUUUCCCUUAAUUAUCAAGCUACUUUGCAAUUA